GUAGGGUGCGAGCGUUAAUCGGAAUUACUGGGCGUAAAGCGUGCGCAGGCGGUUUGUUAAGACAGGCGUGAAAUCCCCGGGCUCAACCUGGGAACUGCGCUUGUGACUGGCAAGCUAGAGUACGGCAGAGGGGGUGGAAUUCCACGUGUAGCAGUGAAAUGCGUAGAGAUGUGGAGGAACACCAAUGGCGAAGGCAGCCCCCUGGGUCGAUACUGACGCUCAUGCACGAAAGCGUGGGUAGCAAACAGGAUUAGAUACCCUGGUAGUCCACGCCCUAAACGAUGUCAACUAGGUGUUGGGAGGGUAAAACCUUUUAGUACCGGAGCUAACGCGUGAAGUUGACCGCCUGGGGAGUACGGCCGCAAGGUUA
rnacentral:rRNA from 1 species